rnacentral:lncRNA from 1 species
UUGACUCGAAGUAUUCCUUCUUCAUCGAUUCUUGCCUCCGGCAUAGCACCUUCUUGCACUUUCUUCCUCAUACGCAUCAGCUCCAGGUCUAUAGUUUGAGCAGCUUUAACUUUAUCAAUUAAAGUCGGUUCUACUCAUAUGUUUGCCAUCAUCACGUGGGUCCCUGGAGUCUUUAUCUCUAUCUCCAUCCUUUGCAAGUCACAC